rnacentral:miRNA from 1 species
AGGACUGUCUGACCUGAGAAUG